AAACUACCAGAGCAGCCCAGCAAGUUCAGCCCCCACUUUGGGAACAAACGCAUGCAUUAAGGGAGUCUCUCAGCACUUACCAGUCACGAUGACCGUCUUGCCAUGGAGCCUUGCUGAGCUUUUACAUCUCGGCAUUUUAAGAACCGUCAUACAGAGCAGAGCGUAAACACCGAGCAGAGCCCCGCAAACGACCAGAAGGUAAAUCAUCUU